GAUGAACGCUGGCGGCGUGCCUAAUACAUGCAAGUCGUACGGAAAGGCCCUUCGGGGUACUCGAGUGGCGGACGGCUGAGUAACGCGUGGGAACGUGCCCCAAAGUGAGGGAUAACGCACCGAAAGGUGUGCUAAUACCGCAUAUGGUCUUCGGAUUAAAGCUUCGGCGCUUUGGGAGCGGCCCGCGUACGAUUAGAUAGUUGGUGAGGUAAUGGCUAACCAAGUCGACGAUCGUUAGCUGGUCUGAGAGGAUGAUCAGCCAGACUGGGACUGAGACACGGCCCAGACUCCUACGGGAGGCAGCAGUAAGGAAUCUUCCACAAUGGGGGCAACCCUGAUGGAGCAACGCCGCGUGCAGGAUGAAGGUUUUCGGAUCGUAAACUGCUUUUAUAAGUGAAGAAUAUGACGGUAACUUAUGAAUAAGGAUCGGCUAACUACGUGCCAGCCGCCGCGGUAA
rnacentral:rRNA from 1 species